rnacentral:misc_RNA from 1 species
AUUACGUGUCUCUAUUCUCUCUCCGUUUCUCUCCGUACACGUCUCCCUCUUUCCCUCGAGCAUUUUCUCACUCUCGCUGUCACUCUUUUAUCGGGGAAACUCUCUCUGUAACGGGGUAGCGAUGAACGUUCAAUUUUACCGACCAACUUUUUGACUUCGACAAACUUAUCGCGCAAAUAUCGGAUAUCAUGCUUUAUUCGGGGUAUCUGCAACUCUUGUUAACGGAAAUUUAUUGAAGAUGUUUUGUCAAGUUUGGAUGUAUGUUCAAAUAUGUUAAGUGAAAAAAAUUAUAAUUCUUAAUGAGAUGGUAAGUUUAAUGACAGUUUGUGUUUGAGGUUAAAAGAGGAAGUGACUCAAUUUUUUAGUGUCUUUACCUCUGAAUGCAGUGUCUGACAUUUUACCAUUCUUCACUUCCUUUGACAAUGUAGCAUUGAUGACGUCACUCUGCAGAAAAUUGUUGUCAUUAAUAAUAGCUGUGAAUUCUAAUGAGAAUUAUUGAAUUUUAAUGAUACGAGGAUCACCUGACAAGCGAAUUGAAAUAUCGAGUUUCGGACGAUCCUUUCUCGUGAUUUGUUGGUUUAAUAGUUGUAUAACCACUUUUCCGCCUACGAAACUAUAAUGAUUAAUAGCGUAUUAGAGCAGCGGAAGUUAGUACCCCAUAGCGCCACCAGAAGGCAGGUUAGGGUUGGUCGUACAUUUGACGGAACAUGAAAGCUUUUCAAAUUCAUGGUGUAUUGAUUAUUUAUGUGAUUAUUACUGAUAGCUUUAUUUAGUGAAUUUUUAUAAAAAAUUAAAAACUUGCUACUGUACUAGUACACAUACAUAUUUUAUUAUUUGUAUUUGAUGUAUAUUUCAUGAUUUACUUUUGACACACUUUAUUUCAUAAUUUUAAAGAAAAUGAUACACUUUGUAUUCAUUCAAAGUUAAAAGGGGUUGUAAAAAUGUUCCGUCGAAAUUUACGAACUUUGCAACUAGAAUUUAUAAAUUUAACAAGUACAAAGAUAAUUUAUGAUCUCCUAUAAUACUAUUUAACUGUAAGAACAUUGUUUUUUUGUAGAUUUAUAGUUUUGUAAGUAGAGGGUGACUCAUUUUAAUCUUUAAAUGGAUAUAUAUGGGGAAGUACAUCGAGUUGAAAGUUGAAUAUACGAGGGUUGGAGGAAGUCGAGGGAAGCACUAGAAUGUCAAGAAGGAAGGUCUGUGGGAAACGAAACGUAACUCAACUCUAUUAUCAGUUCUACUUGUUAGAAUAUUUCCUUUGACAUUUUCUUCUUCGAUGUUCUCCUUUGAUUUACUUUCUUUUGCUGACAAUUAUAUUUACUGUUCUACUUCUAUUUUAUUUUGUUUGGUCUAUUUGAGAUUUUGGG